rnacentral:rRNA from 1 species
UGGGGAAUAUUGGACAAUGGGCGCAAGCCUGAUCCAGCAAUGCCGCGUGUGUGAAGAAGGCCCUCGGGUUGUAAAGCACUUUUAUCAGGAGCGAAAUCUGCAUAGUUAAUACCUAUGUAGUCUGACGGUACCUGAGGAAUAAGCACCGGCUAACUCCGUGCCAGCAGCCGCGGUAAUACGGAGGGUGCAAGCGUUAAUCGGAAUUACUGGGCGUAAAGCGUGCGUAGGCGGUUUGUUAAGUCUGCUGUGAAAGCCCCGGGCUCAACCUGGGAAUGGCAGUGGAUACUGGCAAGCUAGAGUGUGAUAGAGGAUGGUGGAAUUCCCGGUGUAGCGGUGAAAUGCGUAGAGAUCGGGAGGAACAUCAGUGGCGAAGGCGGCCAUCUGGAUCAACACUGACGCUGAGGCACGAAAGCGUGGGGAGCAAACAGG